AUUCCGCGUGAGUGAAGAAGGCCUUCGGGUUGUAAAGCUCUUUCGCAAGGGAAGAAAACUUACAUUCUAAUAAAGUGUGAGGCUGACGGUACCUUGAUAAGAAGCACCGGCUAACUACGUGCCAGCAGCCGCGGUAAUACGUAGGGUGCGAGCGUUAAUCGGAAUUACUGGGCGUAAAGCGUGCGCAGGCGGUUUGGCAAGUCAGAUGUGAAAUCCCCGAGCUCAAC
rnacentral:rRNA from 1 species